rnacentral:rRNA from 1 species
AAGGAGAGUUUGAUCCUGGCUCAGAAGGAACGCUGGCAGCGUGCAUAACACAUGCAAGUCGAACGAUGAAGCAUUCUUCGGAAUGUGGAAGAGUGGCGAACGGGUGAGGAACACGUAAGAAUCUGCCCCUCGGUCGGGGACAACUCUUGGAAACGAGAGCUAAUACCCGAUACGCUGUGGAGUGAAAGAAUUUCGCCGAGGGAUGAUCUUGCGUCUGAUUAGCUAGUUGGUGUGGUAAAGGCAUACCAAGGCGACGAUCAGUAGCUGGUCUGAGAGGAUGAACAGCCACAUUGGAACUGAGACACGGUCCAAACUCCUACGGGAGGCAGCAGUGGGGAAUUUUCCGCAAUGGGCGAAAGCCUGACGGAGCAACGCCGCGUGAGGGAUGAAGGCCUCUGGGCUGUAAACCUCUUUUAUCAAGGAAGAAGAUCUGACGGUACUUGAUGAAUAAGCCACGGCUAAUUCCGUGCCAGCAGCCGCGGUAAUACGGGAGUGGCAAGCGUUAUCCGGAAUUAUUGGGCGUAAAGCGUCCGCAGGCGGUCUUGUAAGUCUGUCGUUAAAGCGUGGAGCUUAACUCCAUUUGAGCGAUGGAAACUGCAAGACUAGAGUGUGGUAGGGGCAGAGGGAAUUCCCGGUGUAGCGGUGAAAUGCGUAGAUAUCGGGAAGAACACCAGUGGCGAAGGCGCUCUGCUGGGCCAUAACUGACGCUCAUGGACGAAAGCCAGGGGAGCGAAAGGGAUUAGAUACCCCUGUAGUCCUGGCCGUAAACGAUGAACACUAGGUGUCGGGGGAAUCGACCCCCUCGGUGUCGUAGCCAACGCGUUAAGUGUUCCGCCUGGGGAGUACGCACGCAAGUGUGAAACUCAAAGGAAUUGACGGGGGCCCGCACAAGCGG